GAAAACGACAGCUCAGUUUACAGGUCCACAGCGGCAGCUCGAUCCACUCCACUUGCAAACACUUCACAAAUAACCAGCAGUCCAGUUUGGUAGUCGGGAUAGCAAACACGAAACAGCAGCGGUGACACUACCUGGCAGAGACUGCCAGGCCUCAGCCUUGGCUCAUGUCAGCAGGAGGGACCAGGAGGAAUGCCAGGAGUUCUUGGCUGUGCCUCUCUCAGGAAAGGUAAGAGCAGCGGAUGAUCCACAAGUGUUGCACAACUAGCUCUGCAAGCAAGCCAUACUCAGCCUCUGUCACUGUCCAUCAAGUCCUGUUUACCCUCCGAACAUCUCGUGCCCUUCACGGCCUUACCUCACCACGUGGCUUGCCUCGGCACAGGCUUCUGUCUCAGCUGACAUCAAUUUGCCAAUCACAUUUUUUUGGGCGCGUUUCUCUCUAUGGAGUCCCAGCAAAAUGUAGCUCAACUAUGCAAUGUAAGUCAGACCAACACAUGUGUGUUGUUGGCAAAAAAGAAUCCUUCAUCACAUGUCCUUUCACAUAUGUGCUUUAGCAGAACAUCCUUUUACCUGUGUCUGCUUCAGCUAAACGUUCCUUCCUGAGUCUGUGUUAGUCUAUCCCUGUGUCCACUUCAGGAAAACACACCAUGUGUCUGCCCCAGCAAAACACCAUCCGUCACAACUGACUUUCCAAAGAACCACUUCUUCUUUAUUUUUGAGACAUAUUGUGUCUUACUGUGAAGUCUGGACU
rnacentral:lncRNA from 1 species